rnacentral:lncRNA from 1 species
CUCUCUUCUCUCCUUUUCGUCACCCACAGCCUGGCUAACAAGGAGCAUGUUUCAGCCGUGUUUGUGUUACUGAUCUUUCAGUCCCACCAUUCGGCAGGUCCAGGAAGAAUGAGGUUUGCGAACAGCUGAAGGAGUCCAAAGAAUUGCAUGAACUAGAUUCUGCUGAUGUUUGCAAGAUUGAAGUUCUCUAAUCCUACAAACAAAUAGUCAUUCACUGUGAAAGACUCACUAUGGGGAGGUUAUGAGGUGACAUGAAGAUAUUGUAGCCCUUAGACCAAUUAUGAAAUGUUAAAUAAACACACUUCUUGUAUUAUCCUCCAUGACAGAAGAUCCAAUCCAUCCUUCUAGAUGUGUGAUCUCUUGGGGUGGGACAGGAAUCUGGCAUGAUCAACAAAAUACUGCUCUAAACAUUUUCAUGUUAUUGUUUCUGCCUUGUCUUUGGGGCAACCUCCAAUGGCUAGGUUACAAGUUUACUCUAUUACUUCUUAUCAUAACAGCAGGACACUUGCAUAGUGCAAAGUAAAGACACAUACAUAGCUGAAGGCUUGGGCUUUAAACAUGUAAUCAAGUAAAUUGUUGGUGCUCACAAACAAUUUAUUUGGCUUUCAUGACAAUUAAUGUAAAUGUAAAAUCAAUCAUAACAAUCUUAUUUAAAUAAAAUGUGUAUAUUCCAAUAUCAGAACUUCACAUGGAAAAAUCAUGAGGGUCACAAGAGUAUAAUUUUUGUACUGAUUUUAUGACCAAUGCCUAAUUUGAAUAAUAAAUUAUUCAUCUGUAUGUGUGUGUUUAUUGAACUAAGUUUUUAUUUGUCUUACACCAUUGGAACAUGAAAGCUGUAAAAAUAGCAGAAAUAAAAUAUCACUUUUUCCUUGCACAACUUAAUUAUUAAAUAGAAUAUAUGGGAAGCAGAUGUAUUGCAAUAUCUCCUCAUAAAUAUUGUUCUCUUUUACUCAGCCUCAGUGUCUGAUAUGAGAAGUAAUUGGUGUAUUAAGUCAUGGGAAUCUCAAUUCACAUACAUUACGUUAAUUUCUACUGAACUUAUGUCAUGCUUUAGAUCACUUAUUUAUUGUGGUUCUGAUAAAAAUUCUAUUCAUUCAUUUUGUAACGUUACAUACAUAAUACUAGCUGCCUUUCCUCGAGUACCUAAUAUGUGCCAAGUACAUUGUUAAAUUUGAAUAUUUUAUAAUAUAAUAUCUAAAAAUACUUAAAAUCCCUAUUUUAUGGGUGAAGCAGGUGAACAUGGAGAGGUAAAGAUUGUCUCAUAUCUUACUACCAAGAAAUGGUACAAUCAGGAUGUGAAGGCACAUGACAAAUUCUUAGCCUUCAGUCAUUGCACUGUGCUGUUUCCUAUUUCAGGUAUGUCAAAUACAAAGGAAGGAAUUCUUGUCAAAUUCUCUUAUAUGAAUAUUUUAUAAACCUUAUACAUAAAAGGACUAUCGUUGUUCCUUUGAAAUAUUCUACUGUUCCUCUGUGAAGGACUUCACAUUAUAUGUGUGUGUGAAUUGAAAGCAAAGAGGAAAAAAUCACCUUUCAAUCUACCAGAAAUAUGAUGGAACAAUGUGCGUGUGUAUGUGUGUCUCUUCCUCAAACAUACUGUGUUAUCUAUUUUAUUAUCCGUCUGUAAAAAUUAUUAAAAUAUGUGAUUCUAUUCAUCAUGAUAAAUUUAAGCAUAGGAGAAAAGUAAAGUCUUAUUUAAAGUAAUGGAACUUAUUCUGUACACAAUAGAAAAAUCUAUUUUAAAAAUCACUUGUGAAUCUACAGUAGAUGUGAUGAUAUAAUGUUAUAAGUUUCUUUUACACACAUACAUACACAUGUUAUUUUACAAGUUGUAAAUUUCAUCUCAUUAAUUUAAAAACACAUUUUAAUGUCUGCGUAUCCAAUAUUCCUUAUGGAGCAAUAAUUUAAAUUUAAAUUUAACAUGAAGGAAGGAAUUUUUGUCUGUCUUAUUCACUGACAUGAACAUCAAAAGUGCCUGGCAUAUGAGCCACGUGUUGAAUAAUUGUUUAAUGAAUAAAGUAAUGAAUGAAUUUACUGAUGACUCUGGAUUUGGAAAUGUUGGCUCUUUUCAGUUUUCUAUUAUUUAAAAUUUCAUGUGAUGAUUACAGCUUAUUCACUGAACGAAGACAUGAUUACUUUCUUAUGAUCGAUUCCCAGCAACACGAUUAUCAGUUCAAAGGGUAUAUACAUAAUGUUAUGGCUUUUGAGUUCCAGUUCUUCUUCAUUUAAGAAUUAAAAAAAUGCAAAAGGAGAUUGUCUACUCAUUUUCUUGUCCCUG